rnacentral:tRNA from 1 species
GCACUCCUGGCUCAAGGGAUAGAGCGUCGGUCUACGAAACCGAAGCGUGCAGGUUCAAGUCCUGCGGGGUGCG